AUUCUAUUCGGUUGCCAAAUGAUUUCAUCAAAGUUAUAGUGUUGACUAUGAUGAGAUAUUUUUCUUACGGUAAUCCUCAAGUCCAUUCAGAUUAAAUUAAACUUCUCAAAGUUAGGAUAUAUAUUUUGAACGUAUGGCUUCGUUAAGAACGAAAAAGAAUCCUGUAUGUACAAAUAGGCUAAUAGUUCUGUAGAAGUAUUCUUUAUGUUGUUUAGAUGAAAUUAUCUUAAUCGAAAAUAACAUUCCUACAUUAUAGAGAAUAAAAGCUUGAUUGGCAUCUCUGUUCUCCAUAA
rnacentral:lncRNA from 1 species